AGAAUUCGAAUGCGUUUACUGAGGUCAGAAUAUUGAGGAAACGUUAGUUGGUGACAAACUCUGCACGACUGAGCAAUAUUUUCUUUUCUAUUAUCUAAAUUGGAAUAAAAAAAUGCUUGGCUGUCGAAUUAUUCUUCUAUUUGCUCUCAUCGCAAUUACGAUGUUAUCAGAGAACCACGCUCACCCAGUCGUAACACGUGACCUAACAGCUGAACUCGAAGACUCAUACGACGCCGUUGACAAGAACGAGGAGAUGUUCAACUUCCCGAACGAUUACGAAGACCGCUCGGAGGAGGUUCGGAAUAAGAAAGAUUACGACGACAACCCGACGGGAGCCAAAGGUGAAAAGAGAGGAUGCACGAUGCAGGCUGGGAGCUGGUUUUGUUAAUUCUAUUUUAUGAACGAUUCUUUCAAUAUCUGAAGUAUAACAAACUUCUAGUACAUCUAUAAUCGUUAUCUCUAGGUUUCUCUUGUUGUUAAAUUGUUGUCAUAGUUCAAUAAAUUUUUCAAAGUUA